UCUGGUGCCCCCGGCGCCCGAGUUGUAAUUUGAAGAUAGUUUUCUGGCAGCGGCCCUUGUCUAUGUUCCUUGGAACAGGACGUCAUAGAGGGUGAGAAUCCCGUCUGAUGGGGUGUCCGCGGCCGUGUAGAUCUCUAUCGAAGAGUCGAGUUGUUUGGGAAUGCAGCUCUAAGUGGGUGGUAAAUUCCAUCUAAAGCUAAAUACUGGCGAGAGACCGAUAGCGAACAAGUACAGUGAUGGAAAGAUGAAAAGAACUUUGAAAAGAGAGUGAAAAAGUACGUGAAAUUGUUGAAAGGGAAGGGUAUUCGAUCAGACUUGGUGUUGCGUGAUUAUCUUCCCUUCUUGGGUUGUGCACUCGCGCCUCACCGGGCCAGCAUCGGUUCUGGUGGCAGGAUAAUGGCUUGGGGAACGUGGCACUCCCCCCCGGGGAGUGUGUUAUAGCCCCCUGCUGAUGCUGCCUACCGGGACCGAGGACUGCGGCUUCUGCCUAGGAUGCUGGCGUAAUGAUCCAAUACCGCCCGUCUUG
rnacentral:rRNA from 1 species